GCACUGGGGAGUGGCCAGUUCAGGAGGGGUCAACUCUCUCUGCUGGGCUAGGAGCAGAUGAGGCCCAAGGCAGGUUCACGCAGGAAACUGCAGCCUCCCUGUUCCCACCCCACAUGACUCUUCCAUCUCCUGACAGCAUCCUCGGGACCUUCCCCAGGGGACAGCACAGGAAGCAGAGGACCCAACACCCACUCCUGGAA
rnacentral:lncRNA from 1 species